rnacentral:rRNA from 1 species
UGGGGAAUUUUGGACAAUGGGCGAAAGCCUGAUCCAGCAAUGCCGCGUGUGUGAAGAAGGCCUUCGGGUUGUAAAGCACUUUUGUCCGGAAAGAAAUCCUUGGCUCUAAUACAGUCGGGGGAUGACGGUACCGGAAGAAUAAGCACCGGCUAACUACGUGCCAGCAGCCGCGGUAAUACGUAGGGUGCAAGCGUUAAUCGGAAUUACUGGGCGUAAAGCGUGCGCAGGCGGUUUGCUAAGACCGAUGUGAAAUCCCCGGGCUCAACCUGGGAACUGCAUUGGUGACUGGCAGGCUAGAGUAUGGCAGAGGGGGGUAGAAUUCCACGUGUAGCAGUGAAAUGCGUAGAGAUGUGGAGGAAUACCGAUGGCGAAGGCAGCCCCCUGGGCCAAUACUGACGCUCAUGCACGAAAGCGUGGGGAGCAAACAGGAUUAGAUACCCUGGUAGUCCACGCCCUAAACGAUGUCAACUAGUUGUUGGGGAUUCAUUUCCUUAGUAACGUAGCUAACGCGUGAAGUUGACCGCCUGGGGAGUACGGUCGCAAGAUUAAAACUAAAUGAAUUGACGGGGUCAUAGCUGUUUCCU